GAUGAACGCUGGCGGCGUGCCUAAUACAUGCAAGUCGAGCGAACAGACGAGGAGCUUGCUCCUCUGACGUUAGCUGCGGACGGGUGAGUAACACGUGGAUAACCUACCUAUAAGACUGGGAUAACUUCGGGAAACCGGAGCUAAUACCGGAUAAUAUAUUGAACCGCAUGGUUCAAUAGUGAAAGACGGUUUUGCUGUCACUUAUAGAUGGAUCCGCGCCGCAUUAGCUAGUUGGUAAGGUAACGGCUUACCAAGGCAACGAUGCGUAGCCGACCUGAGAGGGUGAUCGGCCACACUGGAACUGAGACACGGUCCAGACUCCUACGGGAGGCAGCAGUAGGGAAUCUUCCGCAAUGGGCGAAAGCCUGACGGAGCAACGCCGCGUGAGUGAUGAAGGUCUUCGGAUCGUAAAACUCUGUUAUUAGGGAAGAACAAAUGUGUAAGUAACUAUGCACGUCUUGACGGUACCUAAGCAGAAAGCCACGGCUAACUACGU
rnacentral:rRNA from 1 species